UCCUUGGAAAAAUAUACGAGAAGAUGC
rnacentral:sRNA from 1 species